rnacentral:rRNA from 1 species
AUUGAACGCUGGCGGCAGGCCUAACACAUGCAAGUCGAGCGAGCGGCGGACGGGUGAGUAUUGUCUGGGAAACUGCCUGCUGGAGGGGGAUAACUACUGGAAACGGUAGCUAAUAACGCAUCCCAUCUGAUGUGCCCAGAUGGGAUGAGCUAGUAGGUGGGGUAACGGCUCACCUAGGCGACGUUACCUCGCUGGUCUGCGAGGAGUACCAGCCACACUGGAACGAGAACACGGUCCAGACUCCUACGGAGGGCAGCAGUGGGGAAUUUUCGACAAUGAGCGAAAGCCUGAUGCAGCAAGGCCGCGGGUAUGAAGAGGGCCUUCGGGUUGUAAAGUACUUUCAGCGGGGAGGCGGUACCCGCAGAGGAAGCAACGGCUAACUACGUGCCAGCAGCCGCGGUAAUUC